UGUGGUGAAGGCCAGGGAUGGGGAAUGGAGGAACCGGGGUUGGAGGUGGGCAAUAGGGGCGGGGGAGAGAAUAGGGGGCCAUCAGUAAUAACUUGAUCACUAAAGAUAAAUUUUUUAAAAAUCCAUUUUUAAUAAAAGGGCUCCACAAUUUAGCAUCCUCCUUAUAGCAACAAGUGGCUGUGAGACGCCUCCCCUCACUGAAUCUCAGUUUUCCCAUUUGUAAAAUGAGGUGAUUGGACUAGAUAAUCCUUGAGUUCCUUUCUAGCUCUAGCAUCUCCCUCAGCUGCCCUGGUACCUAGAGCAAUAAUUGGUCAGGGGACAUGAUGACCCCAGGAUCUUGGAGCAUGGAGAAAUCAUGGUGAUGACUGCAGAACUCUUGAAGAUGAAUUUGGCAGGAACUGGCUGAGAUGUUUUUCUGCUGAUGGUAAAAUGUUCUGGCAGACUCUGUACAGGACCAGGUUGAGCUCAAGAAGAAGGAGGCCUGCCAAAUCCAGGUGGAGACGUUCCACAGACACUUGCUCCAGGAGGUUGGAAGUACAGUCUGACUGGAGACCUACCAGAUAUUAAAGCAUCCUUUCAAACCACAGUCUGGAAUCUGCAGAACUGGCAUCAGAGCAGGUUGCGCUCUUAUUAAGAAGCUUUCCCAUCAUGUGAAUUAAACUAUAUUUGCAUCUAAAAUUCCUAAAUUUUAAUAAAAUGUUUAAGUCCUUAA